rnacentral:rRNA from 1 species
AUAAGGGCUUUCCCUGCUGCUGCUCCUUCAACUCGGCCGCGUGGUCAUCGCCCAGUUCCACCUUAUUCCUGGCCUUUGCGGCGUCCCUGGGCACGCUGUCGCUCUUCGUCGCCACGGUCACCUAGGCCGGCGGCAUCUCCGGCUGGUCCACGGGCGACGGCGCGCCUGUCGACUCUGGGGGCUCACUCCGCCUGUCGUCCAUCGGCGACCGGCAGCUGCUCAACGGCUCCAGUGUCGUGCUCUAGUCAUCCGGCACCAUCGUCGCCCUCCAAGAGUGGCAACCUCGUGCUCAAGAACUCCGUGGCGGGCGUACUGUGGCAGUCCUUCGACCACCCCACGGGCAGUAUGGUCAUGUCACAGACCUUUGCCUCCGGCAUGAACCUCAAAUGCGGCCCCUACGUCUUCAUCGUUGACAAGGCCACCGGCAACCUAACGCUCAGGUGGGCCAUUGCUGGCUCCGCCACCGUCGCCUACUUCAACAAGGGCUACAAUUCCACCUUCACCGCCAACAAGACGCUCAGCUUCCCGACGCUCAAAAAUCAAGACGCAGACGAACGCAUCGUCUCUCUCACCGACAACAUGCUCUCCUCCUCCAUUGUCGUUGCCUACAACAGCAACUACGGUGAGAGUGGCGACAUGCUGUGGUUCGUGUGCCUUGACACGGACGGCAACUUCGGCGCUUACUACGCCGGUGCGCCAGUGGCACGGCGACCGAGCAGUGAUCGGCGGUGGCGGACCAGUGUGUGGUGUUCGGCUACUGCGGUAACAUGGGCGUGUGCUGCUCCUCUCCCUCUCCUACACCGUUCAGCGUUGCCUUCUCUAGAAUCUACACGCCACGCACCGCCU